rnacentral:rRNA from 1 species
CCUACGGGAGGCAGCAGUGAGGAAUAUUGGUCAAUGGACGAGAGUCUGAACCAGCCAAGUAGCGUGAAGGAUGACUGCCCUAUGGGUUGUAAACUUCUUUUAUAUGGGAAUAAAAUGUUCCACGUGUGGGAUUUUGUAUGUACCAUAUGAAUAAGGAUCGGCUAACUCCGUGCCAGCAGCCGCGGUAAUACGGAGGAUCCGAGCGUUAUCCGGAUUUAUUGGGUUUAAAGGGAGCGUAGGUAGAUUGUUAAGUCAGUUGUGAAAGUUUGCUGCUCAACCGUAAAAUUGCAGUUGAAACUGGAAGUCUGGAGUACAGUAGAGGUGGGCGGUAUUCGUGGUGUAGCGGUGAAAUGCUUAGAUAUCACGAAGAACUCCGAUUGCGAAGGCAGCUCACUGGACUGCAACUGACACUGAGGCUCGAAAGUGUGGGUAUCAAACAGGAUUAGAUACCCCAGUAGUC